AUACGGGGGGUGCAAGCGUUGUUCGGAAUUAUUGGGCGUAAAGCGCGUGUAGGCGGUUUGUUAAGUCUGAUGUGAAAGCCCUGGGCUCAACCCAGGAAGUGCAUUGGAUACUGGCAGACUUGAAUACGGGAGAGGGUAGUGGAAUUCCUGGUGUAGGAGUGAAAUCCGUAGAUAUCAGGAGGAACACCGGUGGCGAAGGCGGCUACCUGGACCGAUAUUGACACUGAGGUACGAAAGCUAGGGUAGC
rnacentral:rRNA from 1 species